AACGAACGCUGGCGGCAUGCCUAACACAUGCAAGUCGAACGAGACCUUCGGGUCUAGUGGCGCACGGGUGCGUAACGCGUGGGAACCUGCCCUUAGGUUCGGAAUAACUCCCCGAAAGGGGUGCUAAUACCGGAUAAUGUCUUCGGACCAAAGAUUUAUCGCCUUUGGAUGGGCCCGCGUUGGAUUAGCUUGUUGGUAGGGUAAAAGCCUACCAAGGCGACGAUCCAUAGCUGGUCUGAGAGGAUGAUCAGCCACACUGGGACUGAGACACGGCCCAGACUCCUACGGGAGGCAGGAGUGGGGAAUAUUGGACAGCGGGCGAAGGCCUGAUCCAGCAAUGCCGGGUAAGUGAUGAAGGCCGUAGGGUUGUAAAGCUCUUUUACCCGGGAUGAUAAUGACGGUACCGGGAGAAUAAGCACCGGCUAACUCCGUG
rnacentral:rRNA from 1 species